AUUUAGUGGAUUGGGGUUUUAGAAGUAACCAUUCAUUAUCUGUGAGGUUACGCUUUCCUCUAAUCUUCUCUAGUUUAGGAAUCAUUAGUGUGUUUUCUAAUGCCAAUCCUUGUUGUUGUAUCCAUAAAUACCUGAUGGCACAAGUACUCCAGUUACUUAGACCUGUAGUGAAUUUCAUAGUUGCAACAGUUAAAUUAUCUAAAUAAUUAUACAUUGAUUUAUCUAAAUCCAAUCCUAUAACCUGUGAUUUAACAACAAUUGGAGCCCAGUUUGCAGUAGCAUGGAAACCAGUCCCUAUAUGCAUACUGGCUGUGUUUAACUUAUUCUUGAGGGUCUCCAUAUCUAUAACUAUUUAGUAUACUCAUAGUGGUUCCAGCACCAUCUAACAGUGUGUCAUACCAUUCCCUUUUCUGCCUUUUGUUUGUUGUGUUACAUAAUGUUACAACAGGAGUAGUGAUUUUUAAUGACACAUGUACAGCUUGUAAGAAGGCAGUUGUAUUAAUACAUGUGGACGGAAUAGGUGUGUGUGUGUGUGUCGUUGUUGACUUUUGGUUCUAUGGUAGAGGAUAAAGGACAGUAAUAAGGUGUAAAAAUAUAAGGUAGUGUAUAGUUCUCAAUUGUAGUGUCGUUCAUAAUGACUAACAUUUGUCCCCUUUUCCAAUUAAUGAUACCAGUUAUAUAAUCAUUAUUAAAAGUAAUAAGGCCUGUCUGUUUACAUUGAUAUGCAACCUUAACUGUGCACAUUUCUGCGUUAUAAGAUCUAACAAUUUUCUGUGAACCUUCAAACAAACAUAAUGCAUCGGUUUCAUUAGCUGUAGACACAUUUCAUAUGGGUAACUGGUACUUAUAAGGGUUACUAUUUGUCCAAUUCAUCCAAAUGCGUUCAGUGAAUGAAUGAUUGCAUAUUACAUGCUGAUAGAAAGGUGGUGGAGAAAGGUUCUUGAGGGGGCGUGUGUGACGAAUGCUAGAUGAGGGGCUAAGGCCUAAUUGGGCUGGGGGUAUUGAAGAAUUGUUCAUCAUGUCAGAGUCUUUUUCCAGAACUUGCCAUUGACUUGUACUCAUAAUGGCAUUCAAGGAACAAUAUCAGAGGGAGUAUAACAACUCCAGAAAGCAUAGCGCACAACAUAAUCUUGGUCUCAGGUACGUAUGAUCCUCUCAAUCUACGAUAUGGUGUAAAAGCCAUGAUGCUUCGCUGAGGAGAAAUUCUUCUGUUUCCGAGCGAGGAGUGGUGUUGUCUUCCUUGGUUCCCCUCUUUGGACACAGCUUCACUCGGGAUGCGUGAAUCCAGAUGUCAUGGGAAUCUGUGAGGACAGCGGUUCUGGGUACAGCAAUCACAGUAGCAGGUGGUCCAAAAGGGUAUCCUCCUUUCUUGGUCCUGUUCAGCUGACGGAUAUACACCUUGUCACCGGGCUGGUAUGAAUGAGUAGGUUCCUGUGAAGGUAAGGGAAAACUGCGAAGAAACAUUGUCAUACAUACCAUUCAGUUUUAUCAACAACUCCUGUACAUAUUGUUCUUGUAUUAGCUGUAAAAUCCACAGACAUUAUAACAAGCGGUUCCCUGGCCCAGGGUGUGGGAAAAGGUCAUCCCAUCAAAAUCUCAAAUGGAGAUAAUUUAGUCACCUUGUGAGGAAUCACUCUUAUCUCAGCUAAAAUAGCUGGUAGAUAUCUAGUCCAAUUUACCCAUGUUCCUGGGUAAAUUCUGGGCUUUUCCUUAAUAGUCCUAUUCAUCCUUUCAACUACCCCUGUAUUCUGUGGAUGAUAGGGUAUAUGAAACUGCCAGGUAACUUGCAAGAAUUUAGCAAGUUCCUGGGCAACCCUACUUGCAAAUACCGGGCCAUUAUCAGAGCCAAUCUGCAGAGGGCAGCCAUACCUGGGAAUAAUUUCAGUAACAAUAAUCUUCACUAGCAUCUUCCCUAGAUAUCACAAAGGCCUCAUGCCAUCUACUAAACUGAUUAACUAUGACCAGUAAGUAUUGCUGUUUCUUACCAAUUACAUGAAUAAAAUCAAUCUGUAAGUGUGUAAAAAGAGCAGUGUUCACACGAUCUUACAAAAGACUGUACAUGCUGCCUGAGAUUCCUAAUAUAAAAUGAAUUCAUGAAGAAUUGAAUGGUGCUUGCUAUGUGCCUGACUGAUGAAAAUAAAUCAGCUUGCUUCAAGUAUGCCUAUUCUUCAAGUAUGCCUAUUCUCCCCUCUUUAGAGAACAGAUCAUUUUGAUCUUUCUCUAAACCUUGUUUAAUCCAAAAGACAGAUUCUGGGUAUUUAAAAAAAAAAAAAAAAAAAUCUCAUAACCACUGAAGCGCUGGGCUGUCAUGUGUUGUGUGGUGAGAUUUGUCAUCAGCUGAGUGACCUGGUGACUGGCAUGAAGUAUUGUAGGAUGCCCUAGUGUGAUAGUAGUAGCAGUUUCAACAGCCAUUGCACAUGCUAUCAAUGCUCUGAGACACGCCGGCAUACCCUUUACCGGAGCUCGAACUACUUUGGAAAAGAAUGCUAUGGGACGCAUACCGCCUCCUUGCUCUUGUGCACAG